UAUCUAGUGCGGCAUGCAAAUAAAUCAAUAUUUCAUGAAAAAAAUAUAAAUAUAUUUUAUGCACUUAUAAAUGUUCUUGGAAAUGAUUUUUAUUAAUUUUAUAUAUAGCAUGAUUAGAUGUAUACAGUGUCAGGUAGUGGAAGAUAGAUUGGCCAUAUCUAAGUCCUACCACCGUAAAGGAUGGAGGAUGAUCAUGAUGCAAAAGUGGGCG
rnacentral:lncRNA from 1 species